UACGGAGGAUGCGAGCGUUAUCCGGAUUUAUUGGGUUUAAAGGGUGCGUAGGCGGGAUGCCAAGUCAGCGGUAAAAAUGCGGUGCUCAACGCCGUCGAGCCGUUGAAACUGGCGUUCUUGAGUGGGCGAGAAGUAUGCGGAAUGCGUGGUGCAGCGGUGAAAUGCAUAGAUAUCACGCAGAACUCCGAUUGCGAAGGCAGCAUACCGGCGCCCUACUGACGCUGAGGCACGAAAGCGUGGGUAUAGAACAGG
rnacentral:rRNA from 1 species